AACGCUAGCUACAGGCUUAACACAUGCAAGUCGAGGGGCAGCAUGGUCUUAGCUUGCUAAGGCCGAUGGCGACCGGCGCACGGGUGAGUAACACGUAUCCAAUCUGCCGUCUACUCUUGGACAGCCUUCUGAAAGGAAGAUUAAUACAAGAUGGCAUCAUGAGUUCGCAUGUUCACAUGAUUAAAGGUAUUCCGGUAGACGAUGGGGAUGCGUUCCAUUAGAUAGUAGGCGGGGUAACGGCCCACCUAGUCUUCGAUGGAUAGGGGUUCUGAGAGGAAGGUCCCCCACAUUGGAACUGAGACACGGUCCAAACUCCUACGGGAGGCAGCAGUGAGGAAUAUUGGUCAAUGGGCGCAGGCCUGAACCAGCCAAGUAGCGUGAAGGAUGACUGCCCUAUGGGUUGUAAACUGCUUUUCCGGGAGGAUAAAGUGAGCCACGCGUGGUUCAUUGCAGGUAUCCCGGGAAUAAGGACCGGCUAAUUCCGUGCCAGCAGCCGCGGUAAUACGGAAGGUCCGGGCGUUAUCCGGAUUUAUUGGGUUUAAAGGGAGCGCAGGCGGAGAUGCAAGCGUGACGUCAAAUUUCGGGGCUCAACCCCGUCUCGCGUCGCGAACUGCGUCCCUUGGUUGCGGGAAGGGGAGGCGGAACUCGUGGUGUAGCGGUGAAAUGCAUAGAUAUCACGAAGAACUCCGAUUG
rnacentral:rRNA from 1 species